rnacentral:rRNA from 1 species
GACGAACGCUGGCGGCGUGCUUAACACAUGCAAGUCGAACGAAGAGCGAUGGAAGCUUGCUUCUAUCAAUCUUAGUGGCGAACGGGUGAGUAACGCGUAAUCAACCUGCCCUUCAGAGGGGGACAACAGUUGGAAACGACUGCUAAUACCGCAUACGAUCUGACCUCGGCAUCGAGGAUGGAUGAAAGGUGGCCUCUAUUUAUAAGCUAUCACUGAAGGAGGGGAUUGCGUCUGAUUAGCUAGUUGGAGGGGUAACGGCCCACCAAGGCGAUGAUCAGUAGCCGGUCUGAGAGGAUGAACGGCCACAUUGGGACUGAGACACGGCCCAGACUCCUACGGGAGGCAGCAGUGGGGAAUCUUCCGCAAUGGACGAAAGUCUGACGGAGCAACGCCGCGUGAGUGAUGACGGCCUUCGGGUUGUAAAGCUCUGUUAAUCGGGACGAAAGGCCUUCUUGCGAAUAGUUAGAAGGA